AUACUCCGGGUGUCUCUGUAGUGUCAUCCUGAAUAUCUCACCGGCCGAUCACGUGAUCGCAAAGACAUAAUAUUGGGGGGAAUGAGGAUUGCCCCCUAAGGAUGAUUGAUCUGGAUCAAUGCUGCGGUGGUUCUCAUACACGGUGCACUCAAUCCGGUGAGUCACCCAGCCAUCUACAGUGGUCAGCCAAACUUCAUCACCUGGUUGUAAUGUUAUGUUCUUCUCUGAUUUUGCACUAGGACUAGCCCCCCCUCUUUGAUUUAUGUACAUCAUUGUUAUAUCAUAUCCCUGUUGGCGCAAUAUUGAUGUUAUCUUAUGAAUUUUUGAUCACCAUAAUAUCUGCAAAUUUCUGUAGACCCGCUACUAUAGACUGCUAUGAAUUCGCUUUGAUGCAAAUGAUGUGUAUGUAUACAAUUUUGCCUCAAUAUCUUUCACCAAUCCUUGAGCAGCAUUAGUCCAUUUUUGUUCUGAUCUCUGUGAAUAAUUUUUGUUGUUAAUCAACUAUUCAGAUGGACUAUUUAUUAUCUAUGUAUAUGAUAUUAUAUACUGAUGUUAUGCUGUUUCACAUAGGUCUGAGGAAGGUCAUUUUUGACCGAAACGUCACAUAUAUUUUUGGAUUGCAAGAAUAAAAUUUACUACUAU